UGAGAAAAUUAACCGCCCACUCCUUGAUGA
rnacentral:piRNA from 1 species